GCCCGGCUAGCUCAAUCGGUAGAGCGUGAGACUCUUACAUCUCAACACAUCUCAAGGUUGUGGGUUCGACCCCCACGUCGGGCU
rfam:Chaetomium globosum CBS 148.51 scaffold_1 genomic scaffold, whole genome shotgun sequence.